rnacentral:rRNA from 1 species
GGCGUUAAUAUAUGACCCGAUUAGCAGCUUCCGGGAAACCAAAGUUUUUCGUUUCCGGGGGAAGUAUGGUUGCAAAGCUGAAACUUAAAGGAAUUGACGGAAGGGCACCACCAGGAGUGGAGCCUGCGGCUUAAUUUGACUCAACACGGGAAAACUCACCCGGCCCGGACACCGUAAGGAUUGACAGACUGAGAGCUCUUUCUUAAUUCGGUGGGUGGUGGUGCAUGGCCGUUCUUAGUUGGUGGAGCGAUUUGUCUGGUUAAUUCCGAUAACGAACGAGACUCUGGCCUAUUAAAUAGACGAUAUAUUUAAAAGUAUAUCGCGCUUCUUAGAGGGACAAGCGGCGUCUAGCCGCAUGAAAUAGAGCAAUAACAGGUCUGUGAUGCCCUUAGAUGUCCGGGGCUGCACGCGCGCUACACUGAAAGAAUCAGUGUGCGUUACGCCUAGUUCGGAAGAACCGGGUAACCCAAGUAAAUUCUUUCGUGCUUGGGAUAGGGAAUUGCAAUUAUUUCCCUUAAACGAGGAAUUCCCAGUAAAUGCGGGUCAUAAGCUCGCGUUGAUUACGUCC